GACGAACGCUGGCGGCGUGCUUAACACAUGCAAGUCGAGCGGUAAGGCCCUUUCGGAGGUACACGAGCGGCGAACGGGUGAGUAACACGUGGGUGACCUGCCCUCAGCUCUGGGAUAAGCCUGGGAAACCGGGUCUAAUACCGGAUAUGACUCCAUGACGCAUGUUGUGGGGUGGAAAGCCUUGUGCGGCUGAGGAUGGGCCCGCGGCCUAUCAGCUUGUUGGUGGGGNGAUGGCCUACCAAGGCGACGACGGGUAGCCGGCCUGAGAGGGCGACCGGCCACACUGGGACUGAGACACGGCCCAGACUCCUACGGGAGGCAGCAGUGGGGAAUCUUGCGCAAUGGGCGAAAGCCUGACGCAGCGACGCCGCGUGAGGGAUGACGGCCUGGU
rnacentral:rRNA from 1 species